UACGGGGGAGCAAGCGUUGUUCGGAUUUACUGGCGUAAAGGGCGCGUAGGCGGUCGUGACAAGUCACUUGUGAAAUCUCCGGGCUUAACUCGGAACGGUCAAGUGAUACUGUCGGACUAGAGUACAGAAGGGGCAACUGGAAUUCUGCGGUGUAGCGGUGAAAUGCGUAGAUAUCGAGAGGAACACCUGCGGCGAAGCGGCGUCCUGGCUCGCAUCUGACGCUCAGACACGACAGCAUGGGGAGCGAACGGG
rnacentral:rRNA from 1 species